rnacentral:snRNA from 1 species
GGUUGGCACGUAACUCUAUCA